GAACGGGCAAACCCACAGAAAUGUGGUGACGCAAAACUAUAGGGGCUACCGCUUCAGGCUAUGCUUGCCAGUUACCGA
rnacentral:ncRNA from 1 species